GGGAAGGGUGGAACCGGUUCAGCUGUGACUGCACAGGCAUGGGUGACUGUGGGAGAACAUGUGAAAGAGAGCACUAUUUCUCCAGCCCUUCAUGCUGUUGUUAGAUGAAUCCACCGAUGAUCUCAAUCUGGAUGCCUGUGUGUGUCUGGAAGAAGAACUGAAAUAGGAAGUGGCUCUUUAUUUUGGUUUGGCAGUGCCGGUGAACAAUAUUAUAGACUCGACAGAAUAUUCCCAGCCUCCUGGCUUUGAUGGAGCUUAGCAGGUGA